AGGACGAACGCUGGCGGCGUGCUUAACACAUGCAAGUCGAGCGGUGAUCCUCCUUCGGGAGGUGAGCAGCGGCGAACGGGUGAGUAACACGUGGGCAACCUGCCCCUCACACUGGGAUAACCUCGGGAAACCGGGGCUAAUACCGGAUAUGACCUCGAGCGGCAUCUCUUGAGGUGGAAAGCUCCGACGGUGAGGGAUGGGCCCGCGGCCUAUCAGCUUGUUGGUGGGGUAAUGGCCUACCAAGGCGACGACGGGUAGCCGGCCUGAGAGGGCGACCGGCCACACUGGGACUGAGACACGGCCCAGACUCCUACGGGAGGCAGCAGUGGGGAAUAUUGCGCAAUGGGCGAAAGCCUGACGCAGCGACGCCGCGUGAGGGAUGAAGGCCUUCGGGUUGUAAACCUCUUUCAGCAGGGACGAAGCGAAAGUGACGGUACCUGCAGAAGAAGCACCGGCUAACUACGCGCCAGCAGCCGC
rnacentral:rRNA from 1 species